AGGAUAAACGCUGGCGGCGUGCCUAACACAUGCAAGUCGAACGUCUCUUCUUUCGGGAAGAGGAGUGGCGGACGGGUGAGGAACACGUGGGAACCUGCCCUUCAGUGAGGAAUACCGGCGAGAAAUCGCCGACAAGACCGCAUAGCCCUCUCUGGUGAGAGCCAGAGAAGGAAAGCUUCGCAAGAGGCGCUGGAGGAGGGGCCUGCGUCCGAUUAGCUAGUUGGUGGGGUAAGAGCCUACCAAGGCGUCGAUCGGUAGCUGGUCUGAGAGGACGAUCAGCCACACUGGGAUUGAGAACGGCCCAGACUCCUACGGGGGGCAGCAGUGAGGAAUUUUCGGCAAUGGGGGAAACCCUGACCGAGCAACGCCGCGUGCAGGAAGACGGCCUUCGGGUUGUAAACUGCUUUUCUUUGGGACGAGCAAGGACGGUACCAGAGGAAUCAGCCCGGCUCACUACGCGCCAGCGCCGC
rnacentral:rRNA from 1 species